GAGACGAUUACGAGAUCCAUGCUAUCUGUGGGGUCAACACUAAAAUACCCGACUCCCGAGGAUGACAAAUCUGGUCUCUUGUUUAACUACCACGGGUGCCCAUUCUCACAUAUCAAUGUCUGGGUGACACGGAGAGGCUCACAUCAUGCUGAUGCACCUCCGAUACUUUUAUUCGUCGAGUGUAGCAAUGACUCUGAAGACAUGAAGACCGCACCAUUUCCGUGCCUCGUAUCAGAGUCAUCAGCAGAUGCUGGUCGUUGCUUCAAUUGCGAGGAUGGUGGGACCAAAAUUGUGCAUCCUUCUUCAGGAUCAUACCGCGGGCAAAGCAGGGAUUUCCAGGACAUGGCUAGUGGAAAUCAUUCUUUGACCAACAACUAAUUGGAUUUGGGAAGCAGGGCACCGCUUACGUGGAUCUGGUUGAUAUGGUAGAUUUCGUGUAUUUUGAUCCUGCAUAUGAUGCUGAUUCCGUGGAGUUCAUCAAUUUGAUUGCUAGGGAGGGAGGAGGAGGAGGCAGAGAGGGACCAGGAGGACUUGGGUGUGGAUGCGCGCAGGAUUGACGCGCUAAUGGCAAACAUGCACCGAGACGUCUUUGGUGAUGAAGAGUGAUGCGUCUGUCUCUCUGUUUUACGGGUUGUGAAGCUUAAUUGUGAUGUGAAUCCUGAAGAUGCUGGCAAAGCAAACAUACUCUACGAGCAUCUACAAGGUGUCAAGGUUAUUAGGACUUGUAUGUGGUAUCAGACAUGGAACACCUGUAUGUAGCAGCACAUGACUCUGGAUGUCUGGAUCAUGGAACACCUGAAUCUGAAUCUCUGGACGAGCCCUGAUUUUCAUGUCCA